GCGCAACUGGAGAACAAGUGCGUUCGCCCAGAUGCCGCUGACGGCCAAGCAGGCAAAAGAGGUCGGAUUCGUGCAACUGAACAACCAGUGCGCAGGUACAUUUUAUGGAUUUCGGUUCAUGAAAGACAAUGAUCCUUCGGUGGUGCUUUUGUACGACGUGAAUGGCGUCAUUGCUGGAUUGCAGUCAGGGUUUCGUGUCCCGAAUCCAAGAGCCAUCCUCGUGCUGGCUACAUCUUGGACAUUGUAGGAGGCCGGGGACAUCCAAUUUCUGACUGUCUACUUCCUACCACCUGAGCUGUUUCGCGCACAUGGCU
rnacentral:lncRNA from 1 species